rnacentral:rRNA from 1 species
GCGGCGUGCCUAAUACAUGCAAGUCGAACGCGUCUUGGUCAAUGAUUUUAGGUGCUUGCACUUGACUGAUUUGACAUUAAGACGAGUGGCGAACUGGUGAGUAACACGUGGGUAACCUGCCCUUGAAGUAGAGGAUAACACUUGGAAACAGGUGCUAAUACUGCAUAACAACGAAAACCGCCUGGUUUUCGUUUGAAAGAUGGCUUCGGCUAUCGCUUUAGGAUGGACCCGCGGCGUAUUAGCUAGUUGGUGAGGUAACGGCUCACCAAGGCAAUGAUACGUAGCCGACCUGAGAGGGUAAUCGGCCACAUUGGGACUGAGACACGGCCCAAACUCCUACGGGAGGCAGCAGUAGGGAAUCUUCCACAAUGGACGAAAGUCUGAUGGAGCAACGCCGCGUGAGUGAUGAAGGGUUUCGGCUCGUAAAACUCUGUUGUUGGAGAAGAACGGGUGUCAGAGUAACUGUUGACAUCGUGACGGUAUCCAACCAGAAAGCCACGGCUAACUACGUGCCAGCAGCCGCGGUAAUACGUAGGUGGCAAGCGUUGUCCGGAUUUAUUGGGCGUAAAGCGAGCGCAGGCGGUUUUUUAGGUCUGAUGUGAAAGCCUUCGGCUUAACCGGAGAAGUGCAUCGGAAACCGGGAGACUUGAGUGCAGAAGAGGACAGUGGAACUCCAUGUGUAGCGGUGAAAUG